UCACUUCCACUCUCAUUUCAUUGGCCAAUGCAGUGACUAAUCUCAAGUCAGCAAGGAAGUGUAAUUCUCGUGUGCCUGGAAGAGGAGGAAAACUGUAAGCAUUGAUGAGAGGCAGUCAUAUCUCCCGUGGAGGUCAGUGACCAAGAACAACUUGGAACUGCAGUAGCCCGUCAAAUCCCUGUUUCCCUGAUUUCAAUGAGGCUUCAUCAUAAGCAUUUGGUGGAAAUGGCGCUGCUGUUCAAGACUGCAUUUGCGUACUGAAGGCAAACACAGCCAUAAUGAUAAUAAUUCUGGUUUCCUGAGCGACUUUUCUCAAAGCCUGUCAUUUCAUUUUCCAUUUCCCCAGAAUGGAGGUUUUAUCUCUGAAGGAUCUACUGAUGACUGACAGAAAGAAGUUAGCAGGAGGCAUGCGAGUUAAACAGAGAUCGUUGCUGCAAAUGGCUCGUUCCCAGAAGCCCCUUUCUCGGAAUUUCGGUUGUUGAUAACUAACAGGUUUUAUCUCCAGGAACUAAGAUAAGUUUUUCUUCACUUCUGGCCUGCCAACUUGUAGGCUGUCUCCAGCUGAGGCAAUGCUGCCAGAAUGAAUAACUGGAGAAUGCACUCAACUCUCUAUUUAUUUGGAAGUAUGAUAAUUUGAGGGAAAAUUAAAGUUGUCAGUUUUUCAUUGCACCCUGCAGCUCUCAGUGCUGGCUAUCUCAUCAGACUGCACGGAUAUACUUCUGCAUAAAACCGUGUAAACGAAUGGAAAAGACAAGAAAGAAAAGGCGGAAUUAACAUCUAGCUAAAGGCCACACAGUAUGUUUCAGGCAGGACUGGGCACCUGAACCCCUCGGCUGAUUGGACUGACGUCUUUAAGCUCUAGCCUGGGGCAGGGAGCAUGUGGAUGCUGAGAUCAUAAAGUUAUGCAAGGGGCAAGGGCAAUAAAUUUUAAAUGUACAAACACUGACCUGUGACGAGCUGUUCCAGAGGCCCAGUGACUGCGAGGACUUUGAGGGCCAAGGGUGUCUGUUUGCCUUUGUAUCCCAGGCUCCCAGCUCAGUGCCUGGCGUGUCAGCAGACACCCAGUCAAUGGCAAAUACAUUCUGUCGAAUACGUUCAGAGACUUAAAAAAUGUAAACCAGAUAACCCCAUUUCUCUGCUUAAAAUGCUGCAGUGGCUUCUUAUUUUCCUUAGUGUAAGAGUGCACACGGUCUGGUCAUUGCUAAUGGCUGCAUUUUCCAGUCUUCCUGCCCCAUCCAUCUCCCCACACAACCUCCGUUGGCUCCUUCUCCACUGGCGCAGCUCCCUUUGCACUGGCUGUUCUUUAGGACUGGACUCUGGGUCUACAUACAUAAAAGGCCACCUCCCUUACUAGUUUCAAUACUUUGGCCAAAUGUCGCUUUCUAUAAAGGCAUACUUCCACUGCCCUUUAAAAAAUUGCAGCCCUUCGCCCAGCCCCUGCCCACCCAUACCCCUGCUCUCCCCUAGCUGGUUCUGU